UUUUUUUUUUUUUUUUUUUUUUUGCUGUGUUUCCACCAUUAUUCUGAGGGCAGUCCUGUGAACGAGUGGAGAUUUGAUAAGGCUAACAUCAGUUGAAUGUAAGAAGUACUGUUGUGUAGUUGACAUAAUUGUAAAUAGUACAUGUUGCAUAUGAGUGUACAGUUCAAUAUAAUAAAUGAUUUAAAAAAGACAACUGAUGGUCUCUUUUGGAGACCAAAGAGAACUAUGAAAAAAGAAUUAUUUUAAUAAAUGAGACAUUGUAGAAGAUGAUCCCUAAAGGUGAUUUCCAGAUAAGUAAAAGUUUACUUGUGGACAUGAACUGUGUUUUUGGAUUUCCUGCUGUAAGCACAAGCUUUAUUUAUUUAUUUUUUAAAGCUUUUAUUUAUUUAUUCAUGAGAGACACAGAGAGAGGCAGAGACACAGGCAGAGGGAGAAGCAGGCUCCAUGCAGGGAGCCCGACGUGGGACUCGAUCCCAGGACCCUGGGGUCAUGCCCUGAGCCCAAAGCAGACACUCAACCACUGAGCCAUGAGGCGUCCCUAAACACAAGCUUUUUGGCUUUUCUUUCUUUUAAUUUUUCCCUUUUUUUGUAGUAUUAUAUUCGUUAUUGCCAGCCAGAUACAUUUUUGCCCCAAAGGCCUAUAUAACAUUAUAUAUAGAAGCAUAAAUUAUAGGAAUUAUUAUUUUUUAUUUCUUUUAUAUAUACAGCUUAUUGCAUAUAAAUAUACAAUGUUUAUGUUGCUUUGGGGGCUUCAUACUAGAAGUUCAAAUAGCAUUUAUGAGAGGAAAUGAGACAUCUGUGUCUACUUUAUCUUUGCCAUCCCUUUUUCCUGACCCAUUGGAAGAAUCCGCAUGUUUUUACCCUCCGAGUGGUCUUCUCAAGCUCGGAGGUGAUGUGAUCCUAUGCCAGCAGUUGAGAUACUGCCUCUUGAUUUCUAGCCUUUUGAUCGUGACAAAGAUUGCUAUUUUCUUCACAAGCCAGCCAGCUCUGUGUGCUAUUCUGGGAGCCAUUCCUGGCCCAGCCUACCCUCCAUACUCUCCACUGACUUGGUAUGCCUCUACUGCCCUCUAUUAUAAGCCCCGUUUACGCAAUAUAGCUAAAUUUGAUUUUGUUUUCUGCAACUUCAGCUUCAUCAAUGAAAGGAUCCAACUCCUGCUUCAAGUCCCGUAACCAUGUAGGACUCUCUCUUGAUGAAACCUCUCAUUUCAGUGUUGAUAAAAAUAACGAGCUUUCUUCUAGGAGUGAUAAGUUGUGUAUGACACCCUAAGGAACCCUAUCUUGGUAGUUCUAGUUGUGUUUCAUGCUUUUCCCCUCAUAGCAUAAGCCCCUCAAAUGGUAGCUGUGUGCCAUGUUCCGUUAUAUACCUUACAGGACCUCCUUCUUCUAUUUGAGAGGAAAGAAAAUUAUAAAUUAGAUUACAUUUCAGGAGUAUUACUAACAAUCCUAGACAACGAAAAUGUUAAUGAUGCAUUCAUUUCUUAGAUAGUUCAUUAUAAAAGGAACAUAUCCAAUAAUCUAAUUAAAUGCUGCCUCUUGUACUAUUAUUGUUCCUUUUCCGUAUAUAUAAAAAUGCAUAUUCAGUGCGAGGCAACGAAAAAUGGUCCCUAAUGCCAAAAUGGAAAUGAUGUGCCUUUUGAGAUGGAAAUGAAAUUUUUAUUUGGGUUAUUUCAUAUUCAAGUUAAUACGCAUGAGGAAUGAAAUAAGGUCAUUUUGAGACAUUUUAGUGAUGUGCAGAUGCUCACUAAAGAAGAGGCUGAGAGUAAGAUUUUGUUUAAAAAAUACUAGCGUAGAGAUUUCACUGGUUACACCUUUAGCAGUUAUAAGAAGUCGUUCCACUGUAUUUUAAUUUUUUAACCUCUCAUUACCUCUGAUUAAUGAGAAUUACUUCUACACUAUAUAUAAGGUGACGUGUCAUUAAAUUGUGUCGGAAAUGGGUGACAGUUUCUGAAUGCUUGCCUUGUCUGACUAAAAACAUAAAAACCAUCCAGAAAGAUCCAGACGUCUUGUUCCUGCAUCACCUACUGUCCAUCUCACUCUGACAGUCUCAAAUGAGCAAAACCAAAAAUCACGUGCACAUGCAUGCACUGUUCCCUUGCUGCCGGCACUUAAACUUCUCCAUUUUACUGUGACACUUGCAAAUUACUAAGUGUGCGUCAUUUAUACAUCUAGAAACUGCAUUUCCAAGUUCUACACUGGUUACCACAUUUUGUUUUAUUUUGUAUGCUAAAACACGUUUACAUUAGGUCAGAUAGAUUUCUAAAGAUGACCUCUGCAAUUUGGCUACCAUUCCCAAGAGCUAAUAAGAGGGUGAGAAGAAGCCCACCCCGCACCCCACCCCGCACCCCAAAUCAAUAGCAGUGCCAUUCAUAGAAAAGUAAAUCUCCUCACGUGUCAUCAAUGUCACAUAUUUAAUCAAACACCAACAAACCACAACUUCUUCAUGGUGUGUGGUAGACUCCUCAGAAGAAGCUGGCAUAACCCUUAAGCUCUGCCUUUUGAGGGCACUGAAUGGUUCAUAUUUUGGUCGAUUCGAAUUUGAAUCUUUUUCUUUAAUGUGGAUUUUCCCCUGCCAUUCUUGCAAAAGGGUAGCUUACUCUAAAAUACAGUGACGAAGGUGUUACAGUUCUGUAUCGUCUCAAUAUUUUCAUCUUUAAGUAGGUCUUCACGGUCACUGGUUUCAAAAAGUUUAUGUUAUAGAUGAUGACACCGCAGCCUACAAUAUUUGUAACUCUGAAAAAAAAAAAAAGUGAAUGUGAAGAGUGGGUUUGGGCUGCGGUGUUGAAGACGAGCACUGAAAGAAGUGGUAAGGCCUGUUUCACCUGUAGAGGAAGGGAACAACCCGGGCAAUUAAUUACUCGUUUGUCAAGAGGGUAAACCAUGGCUGCGUAAACGUCAUAGAGGAUACUACAGAGAAAGGAGACGUGGCAUUGCUUGCUCCCUUCCCUCUGUGCCCUCUUGGUACUAAGAUCAAGGGAAUGUUGAAGGAUAAGUAUUGGAAGAGGUCAGGUCACUAAAUGUUUCCCUUUGCUCUGGCUCUGGCUUCAGUCCAUGCUUCCAUCUGAUAGCAGACCAAGAAACUGCUCACUAAGCAGUGCCCUGAGGGAGUAGGCGUAGGAGAACCUUGGAAAGUUUUUAGCAGAAAUUGAUGAAGUCUUCAGAGUCAAAGGUUGGUUUUUGGUCCCCAAGAGUCAACGUAGUUUCAGGCCUCAACUCCUGUUGCUUCUGUAAGACUGAGUGUUCUGUACGAUGACGGGAAACUGUAGGACAUACUCCUGUGGGAUGAUGGGGCCCAGGUGACACAGACCCCAGCUGGUGAGUAGCCAAGCUAUUUAAAGUGCACUGAAGGAGGUCACUUCUCUGCAGAUAGGUCCAGUUUUGGACCUGAGCUUUGUGGUUCUUUAGAGGAAAAAAUGAUGUAAAAGCAAUGGUUUUUUAAAACGUAAUUGUUAUAUAAUUAUCUGAAGUAUUUCACUACGUUUAUCAAUAUUUUAGUUGUUUUGAUAAAUACCUAACUGUGUCAGAGAAAAAAUUGGGCAGAGAUUGGAUUCAGACCGAUAAACAAUCACAAGAUUUUUACAUUGGUAGUUCUUCACUGAACGUGCUUUGCCUCCCAGGAACGCCAAGGAUGCAUGUUUCAGGGGGACACUCAAAGGCUGUUUUACGCCAACAGGACCAACACAUAUGAGGGUGAUAUUUUUGCGAACAAGCCGAUCAAAAUUCUAUGAUUCCUAUAAGCUUUGUGGCUUGCAAGUAUGGAUUAUGUUUGCUUGUUUGUUUAUUUAUUUAUUUUAAAGAUGAAGGGAUUUUUUUUUAAGAUUUUAUUUAUUUUUCAUGAGAGACAGAGAGUCAGUGACAGAGGUGGAGGGAGAAGCAGGCUCCGUGCAGGGAGCCCGAUGCAGGACUCAAACCCAGGACCCUGGGAUCACGACCUGAGUCAAAGGCAGGUGCUCAACCACUGAGCCACCCAGGCGUCCCAGAUUAUGUUUAAUCUAAAUCACUUUACUCUGGUAUAAAUAUCAGAAAGUAUUUUUAACUUAUAACUUUAGUAAACAGGGACGGAAUUAUUUAGAAAGCCAAAGAAAAAGGUUGUGGCUCUGGAAUCACUAAAUGAGAAAUACAACCAUAACUUUGUGUACCUCACCACUGCUCAUGAUUACUAAUAUCUGGGAGUACUCCUUUCAUGCAUUUCUUCCAGGCAGCACUUGUACAUUGUUGUGAUAAUUUUUUUGCAAAUAUUAUUUUAGAAAUCUGUUUUGUCCAGAUAAUAUUUUAAUAUAAGCAUUUUAAUCAUCUUAACAUAUCCUUUUAAUAAUGCUCUUACGUCUGAAUGAUCAGUGUAAUAGUUGCAUAAGACCUCAUGAUGUAUGGAUCAGAAAAAAAAAUCAUUAAAAAUUACAAUCUGCAUGAGUAACAGCUCAUGACAUAAAAAGGAAAAUUGGCAGGAAGAUCUCAGUUGUGGCGUAAAAAUACAUACUUUGAAAGCAUAUUAGUUAUUGGAUACAUGGUGUGAAGGUGGGAUUCACUCACUUUCAGUUGUCUAUACUCUAUUACUAGACUUGAUAAAAUUCACCCCGUGGAAGUGGAUUUAGGAGAAGUUGUGGUUGGCGUGUGGAUGUGUGUGGACGUGUGUGUGCGUGUGCAUACAGAAAUGUCGAGGCCUAUCUAGCAUGCAUGGUGACAGGGAAAUAAUUGUUAAGCGGCUGUUAAAUGGCAGGUGUGGUCUUAUGUGUUUUAUGUACAUUAAUAAAUAUUUUACUGCCCCAACUGUCCUCUUCUGACCACAGUAUGGGACACCCUGGAAAAGCCUGUAUGGAAACCCCAUCUUAAUUUCUAAAAUGUGACACAUAAACCCGAAACACUGCAGCUAUGUCAUCCUGGCAGGGUGUCAGAUAUAGAGACAAACCAAUUAGACAACAUGAAAUAAUUAGUACAACGGUUUACUGUAAUUUGUUGAAAAAUGCCCAGGAAAAAAAAAAAAAAGAAAAAAAAA
rnacentral:lncRNA from 1 species